GGAUCGAUGCCCGAGAGGUUAAUGGGGAUGGACUGUAAAUCCAUUGACUUAUGCGUCUACGUUGGUUCAAAUCCAACUCGGUCCA
rnacentral:tRNA from 1 species